GACGAACGCUUGCGGCGUGCUUAACACAUGCAAGUCGAACGGAAAGGCCCUGCUUUUGUGGGGUGCUCGAGUGGCGAACGGGUGAGUAACACGUGAGUAACCUGCCCUUGACUUUGGGAUAACUUCAGGAAACUGGGGCUAAUACCGGAUAGGAGCUCCUGCUGCAUGGUGGGGGUUGGAAAGUUUCGGCGGUUGGGGAUGGACUCGCGGCUUAUCAGCUUGUUGGUGGGGUAGUGGCUUACCAAGGCUUUGACGGGUAGCCGGCCUGAGAGGGUGACCGGCCACAUUGGGACUGAGAUACGGCCCAGACUCCUACGGGAGGCAGCAGUGGGGAAUAUUGCACAAUGGGCGGAAGCCUGAUGCAGCAACGCCGCGUGCGGGAUGACGGCCUUCGGGUUGUAAACCGCUUUCGCCUGUGACGAGGCGUGAGUGACGGUAAUGGGUAAAGAAGCACCGGCUAACUACGUGCCAGCAGCCGCGGUGAUACGUAGGGUGCGAGCGUUGUCCGGAUUUAUUGGGCGUAAAGGGCUCGUAGGUGGUUGAUCGCGUCGGAAGUGUAAUCUUGGGGCUUAACCCUGAGCGUGCUUUCGAUACGGGUUGACUUGAGGAAGGUAGGGGAGAAUGGAAUUCCUGGUGGAGCGGUGGAAUGCGCAGAUAUCAGGAGGAACACCAGUGGCGAAGGCGGUUCUCUGGGCCUUUCCUGACGCUGAGGAGCGAAAGCGUGGGGAGCGAACAGGCUUAGAUACCCUGGUAGUCCACGCUGUAAACGGUGGGUACUAGGUGUGGGGUCCAUUCCACGGGUUCCGUGCCGUAGCUAACGCUUUAAGUACCCCGCCUGGGGAGUACGGCCGCAAGGCUAAAACUCAAAGGAAUUGACGGGGCCCCGCACAAGCGGCGGAGCAUGCGGAUUAAUUCGAUGCAACGCGUAGAACCUUACCUGGGUUUGUCAUGGAUCGGGAGUGCUCAGAGAUGGGUGUGCCUCUUUUGGGGUCGGUUCACAGGUGGUGCAUGGCUGUCGUCAGCUCGUGUCGUGAGAUGUUGGGUUAAGUCCCGCAACGAGCGCAACCCUUGUUCACUGUUGCCAGCACGUUAUGGUGGGGACUCAGUGGAGACCGCCGGGGUCAACUCGGAGGAAGGUGGGGAUGACGUCAAGUCAUCAUGCCCCUUAUGUCCAGGGCUUCACGCAUGCUACAAUGGCUGGUACAGAGAGUGGCGAGCCUGUGAGGGUGAGCGAAUCUCGGAAAGCCGGUCUCAGUUCGGAUUGGGGUCUGCAACUCGACCUCAUGAAGUCGGAGUCGCUAGUAAUCGCAGAUCAGCAACGCUGCGGUGAAUACGUUCCCGGG
rnacentral:rRNA from 1 species